CAAUAGCGUAUAUUAAAGUUGUUGCAGUUAAAAAGCUCGUAGUUGGAUUUCUGGUAGGAGCGACCGUGCCGAACUUGAUUGUUCGAGUAUUGUGUUGUCUUCAGCCAUCCUCGUGGAGAACUUUUCUAACAUUAACUUGUUGGGAUUGGGACCCGCGUCGUUUACUGUGAAAAAAUUAGAGUGUUUAAAGCAGGCAUUAGCUUGAAUACAUUAGCAUGGAAUAAUAAGAUAGGACUUUGGUACUAUUUUGUUGGUUUGCAUACCAAAUUAAUGAUCAACAGGAACAGUUUGAGGAUAUUCGUAUGAACAUGUCAGAGGUGAAAUUCUUGGAUUUUGAUCAGACGAACUACUGCGAAAGCAUUUAUCAAGGAUGUUUACAUUAA
rnacentral:rRNA from 1 species